GCCCGGCUAGCUCAGUCGGUAGAGAGUUGGACUCUUAAUCCAACGGUCGUGGGUUCGAACCCCACGCUGGGUG
rfam:Ciona savignyi cont_34709, whole genome shotgun sequence.